rnacentral:rRNA from 1 species
UACGUAGGGUGCAAGCGUUAAUCGGAAUUACUGGGCGUAAAGCGUGCGCAGGCGGUCUUGUAAGACAGAGGUGAAAUCCCCGGGCUUAACCUGGGAACUGCCUUUGUGACUGCAAGGCUUGAGUACGGUAGAGGGGGAUGGAAUUCCGCGUGUAGCAGUGAAAUGCGUAGAUAUGCGGAGGAACACCGAUGGCGAAGGCAAUCCCCUGGACCUGUACUGACGCUCAUGCACGAAAGCGUGGGGAGCAAACAGG